AGUGAACGCCGGCGGCGUGCUUAACACAUGCAAGUCGAACGAGAACGGGUUAUAGCUCGCUAUAAUUGUCAGCUAAGUGGCGCACGGGUGAGUAAUGUAUAGGUAAUAUGCCUCUUACUAAGGGAUAACAAAUGGAAACGUUUGCUAAUACCUUAUACUCCUUAUUAACAGAAGUUAAUAAGGGAAAGAUUUAUUGGUAAGAGAUUAGCCUGUAUUGUAUUAGUUAGUUGGUGGGGUAAUGGCUUACCAAGACUAUGACACAUAACUGGUUUGAGAGGAUGAUCAGUCACACUGGAACUGAGACACGGUCCAGACUCCUACGGGAGGCAGCAGUGGGGAAUAUUGCACAAUGGACGAAAGUCUGAUGCAGCAACGCGGCGUGGAGGAUGACACAUUUCGGUGCGUAAACUCCUUUUAUAUGGGAAGAUAAUGACGGUAUUAUAUGAAUAAGCACCGGCUAACUCCGUGCCAGCAGCCGCCGUAA
rnacentral:rRNA from 1 species